rnacentral:rRNA from 1 species
CUACGGGUUGCUGCAGUGGGGAAUAUUGGACAAUGGGGGAAACCCUGAUCCAGCAAUGCCGCGUGUGUGAAGAAGGCCUGCGGGUUGUAAAGCACUUUCGGUUGGGAGGACUGCUUCUAGCACUAAUAUUGUUGGAAGUUGACGUUACUUUCAGAAGAAGCACCGGCUAACUCCGUGCCAGCAGGCCGCGGUAAUACGGAGGGUGCAAGCGUUAAUCGGAAUUACUGGGCGUAAAGCGCGCGUAGGCGGCUAGAUCAGUCGGGUGUGAAAGCCCCGGGCUUAACCUGGGAACUGCAUCCGAUACUGUCUAGCUUGAGUACAGGAGAGGAGAGUGGAAUUCCACAUGUAGCGGUGAAAUGCGUAGAUAUGUGGAGGAACACCAAUGGCGAAGGCAGCUCUCUGGCCUGAUACUGACGCUGAGGUGCGAAAGCGUGGGGAGCAAACAGGAUUAGAUACCCUUGUAGUC